GCCAUUGAUACUACAUGUUGCCAAAGGUUACAAAAGUUGAAUUCUAAAAUGAAAAUAUUUCUUCUAUAGAAGUGGUACACCAUAUGCGUCCCACAAAUUCAAAGAGAUAUGUAAGGAUAUGACCUUUGUGUGAACACUGAUGAAUCUAGCAUAAUACUGUUGGGCUUCAAUGGAUUAUUCACAGCAGAAGUAGUUGAAGUGUAUGCCUUGUUUUCUAAGACCACUGGUGGGGGAUAAGGGGGUUUAUUCCCAGUAUCUAUAAAGAUCCAGGAGCAGGAAAAGAAAAAAAAAUUCAAAGUGAAAUGGCACCAGCUAUUCCUGCCAACUCUCCACCUACUUUGGAGUAAUCUGAAGUUCCAGAGACCAUACAGAAGCAGAUAAAGCAUUGUCUCAAGGGUCAUCCCCAAAGCAUUAAAAAGGCAUUUUAGCUCAGAAAAAGAAUAUUUUGAUUAUGUGAAACAGAUGUCACAUUACAGCCCCGUGUUGCUAACUCUCACAAGAGAACAUCUUGAACUGCAACAAAAUUAUGAAGCCACGUAAAAGGUUUCUCUCCACCUGUCCCUCAUCUUCCAGUGCUAGUAAGCAACUAAAGAAGCUUAAAAAAUAAGCAGUGCCUGGCACCCAAAUCUAAAAGAAAGCCAGCAACAGGUCCAAUGAAAAUCGUGCAGAAAGCCCAUCAGACAUUAACCCUGCAUAUGUAGAAGGUCAAGAUACCUGCUGCUUCUCCAGUACUCAAGAGACACUAUCAUUUUGUUAUGGACCCUCAGACUAUAAAUUUUAAAUCCGUGGUUAGAUGGAGUGAAGGUAUCCUACUUCUCUGGUGAAAAGAAGAAGAAACAUGGUCCAAAGCAUUUGGAAGGCCAUCUGUUAAUGCUUACAUACCUUUUGUGUACCUUGUCCCUAAGCCUUGGAGACUGCAUCUUAAUACAUGGUAGCCCUCCAUCUGAGGGCUCUCUAGAUCCACAAAUAGAUGCUGAAAACUUUCAUUUCAAGUUUCUAUCUCCUAGAAGUGGGGUGAAAAAAAGCUGGUUAUUAUUCCGAAACCCAUUGAAAUUGCAUUUGUGGCAUCAAAAUGGAUUUUUUUUUAAGCAGGAUGUUGGAUUGACAGUAAAGCAGCUGCUCUGCAACAAACGAAAGCAAAAAUUAAUAAGAGACCUUAGCAAAAGAAAGACUAUUGGUUUUGCACACCCAGAGCAAAUUGGCUGGAUUUAGAAGAGCACACUUUGAUCUUUUCCAGACUAAUUACUGCUCUGUGGUUUGACUGUUUUGUGCAUUAGUUGCCCUUCAUACAAAACCGAAACUGCUAUGGUACACAGCUGUAAUACAAAUGAAAAUUUGACAUUCAGUAAACAAAGAAUGGCAAGGGUCAUUCUUUCAGCACAAUAACUGCAUAAUACAAUUUUAGAAUGCCUUUUGUAUACAAAAAAAAAUGACACAUUUUAAGGCAGUUUUGAACUCAGAGUAAGCAGUCAAGGCUGUUUGUAAAGGACAGAAAAAUUGCUCCCAACUCUGAUCUAUAAAUACAGAUUGAAACAGUUUAUUUCAACAUUGUAGAAAUGCUAAGGAAUUUACAUAUUUACAGAAAUAAAUGUGUCCAUUUUUAGAAGACGUUUUUUCAUUUGUCUAUAAGGUUAAUUGGGAGCAGAUUUCUUAAGUAGCUGUUUG